rnacentral:rRNA from 1 species
CCUACGGGCGGCAGCAGUGAGGAAUAUUGGGCAAUGGACGAGAGUCUGAACCAGCCAAGUAGCGUGAAGGAUGACUGCCCUAUGGGUUGUAAACUUCUUUUAUAAAGGAAUAAAACGAGGCACGUGUGCCUUUUUGCAUGUACUUUAUGAAUAAGGAUAGGCUAACUCCGUGCCAGCAGCCGCGGUAAUACGGAGGAUCCGAGCGUUAUCCGGAUUUAUUGGGUUUAAAGGGAGCGUAGAUGGGUUGUUAAGUCAGUUGUGAAAGUUUGCGGCUCAACCGUAAAAUUGCAAUUGAUACUGGAAGUCUUGAGUACAGUUGAGGUAGGCGGAAUUCGGGGUGUAGCGGUGAAAUGCUUAGAUAUCACGAAGAACCCCGAUUGCGAAGGCAGCUUACUAAACUGUGACUGACAUUGAUGCUCGAAAGUGUGGGUAUCAAACAGGAUUAGAUACCCUUGUAGUC